rnacentral:tRNA from 1 species
AAGCAUGUGGCCUAAUGGAUAAGGCAUCUGACUUUAGAUCAGAAGCCUGAGGGUUUGAGUCCUUUCAUGGUUG